UACAGAGGUCCCAAGCGUUGUUCGGAUUCACUGGGCGUAAAGGGUGCGUAGGCGGUCGGAUAAGUCUGAUGUGAAAUCUUCGAGCUCAACUCGGAAACUGCAUCGGAAACUAUUCGGCUGGAGGAUUGGAGGGGAGACUGGAAUUCUCGGUGUAGCAGUGAAAUGCGUAGAUAUCGAGAGGAACACCAGUGGCGAAGGCGAGUCUCUGGACAGUUCCUGACACUGAGACACGAAGGCCAGGGGAGCAAACGGG
rnacentral:rRNA from 1 species